rnacentral:rRNA from 1 species
GGAGUUAGGAAAUGUAAGUUUGAGAAUACCAAAUUUACUCGACAAAGGCUCCAAAGGAAGCCACGGCUAACUCUGUGCCAGCAGCCGCGGUAAUACAGAGGUGGCGAGCGUUGUUCGGAAUUAUUGGGCGUAAAGAGCACGUAGGUGGAUUUGUAAGUCAGAUGUGAAAGCCUUCUGUUCAACGGAAGAAUUGCAUCUGAAACUACAAACCUUGAGUAUAGGAGGGGAGAGUGGAACUUCUG